AGCCUGAACGCUGGCGGCGUGGCUAAGACAUGCAAGUCGUACGGGUGUAGCAAUACACCAGUGGCGGACGGGUGAGUAAUGUAUCGCUAACGUACCCCGGAUUCUGGGAUAGCUGCCCGAAAGGGCAGGUAAUACCGGAUGAUAUAUCCUUUUCGCAUGAUGAGGAUCUCAAAGGGAAACCGUUCUGGGAGCGGGCGAUAUCGUAUCAGCUAGUUGGUGAGGUAACGGCUCACCAAGGCGACGACGCGUAGCCGGACUGAGAGGUUGGCCGGCCACAUUGGGACUGAGACACUGCCCAGACUCCUACGGGGGCUGCAGUAACGAAUCUUCCGCAAUGCACGCAAGUGUGACGGAGCGACGCCGCGUGUGGGACGAAGUCCUUCGGGAUGUAAACCACUGUCAGGGGUUAGAAAGUUCUGAUCAACCCCAGAGGAAGGCACGGCUAACUCUGCGCCAGCAGCCGCGGUAA
rnacentral:rRNA from 1 species